UACGAAGGGGGCUAGCGUUGCUCGGAAUCACUGGGCGUAAAGGGCGCGUAGGCGGCUUAUCAAGUCGGGGGUGAAAGCCCGUGGCUCAACCACGGAAUGGCCUUCGAUACUGGUAGGCUUGAGACCGGAAGAGGACAGCGGAACUGCGAGUGUAGAGGUGAAAUUCGUAGGUAUUCGCAAGAACACCAGUGGCGAAGGCGGCUGUCUGGUCCGGUUCUGACGCUGAGGCGCGAAAGCGUGGGGAGCAAACAGG
rnacentral:rRNA from 1 species